rnacentral:rRNA from 1 species
CCUACGGGGAGCAGCUGUGAGGAAUAUUGGUCAAUGGACGAGAGUCUGAACCAGCCAAGUAGCGUGAAGGAUGACUGCCCUAUGGGUUGUAAACUUCUUUUAUAUGGGAAUAAAAUGUUCCACGUGUGGGAUUUUGUCUGUACCAUAUGAAUAAGGAUCGGCUAACUCCGUGCCAGCAGCCGCGGUUAUACGGAGGAUCCGAGCGUUAUCCGGAUUUAUUGGGGUUAAAGGGAGCGUAGGUGGAUUGUUAAGUCAGUUGUGAAAGUUUGCGGCUAAACCGUCAAAUUGCAGUUGAAACUGGGAGUCUUGAGUACAGUAGAGGUAGGCGGAAUGCGUGGUGUAGCGGUGAAAUGCUUAGAUAGCACGAAGAACUCCGAUUGCGAAGGCAGCUCACUGGACUGCAACUGACACUGAGGCUCGAAAGUGUGGGUAUCAAACAGGAUUAGAUACCCUUGUAGUC